GGAAGCGACCACAGCAGUGAGAAGAGCUCGUCUCAGCGGCCGGAGCGAGAGAGGAGAGAAGGAGAGAGGACUGGGGAUAGAGGGAGCGACCACAGCAGUGAGAAGAGCUCGUCUCAGCGUCCGGAGAGGGAGAGGAGAGAGAGAGAAGGAGAGAGGACUGGAGAGAGAGGGAGCGACCACAGCAGUGAGAAGAGCUCGUCUCAGCGGCCGGAGCGAGAGAGGAGAGAAGGAGAGAGGACUGGGGAUAGAGGGAGCGACCACAGCAGUGAGAAGAGCUCGUCUCAGCGGCCGGAGCGAGAGAGGAGAGAAGGAGAGAGGACUGGGGAUAGAGGGAGCGACCACAGCAGUGAGAAGAGCUCGUCUCAGCGGCCGGAGCGAGAGAGGAGAGAAGGAGAGAGGACUGGAGAGAGAGGAAGCGACCACAGCAGUGAGAAGAGCUCGUCUCAGCGGCCGGAGCGAGAGAGGAGAGAAGGAGAGAGGACUGGAGAGAGAGGGAGCGACCACAGCAGUGAGAAGAGCUCGUCUCAGCGGCCGGAGCGAGAGAGGAGAGAAGGAGAGAGGACUGGAGAGAGAGGGAGCGACCACAGCAGUGAGAAGAGCUCGUCUUCCUCCUCACACUCUCACUCACGGGAUCGUAAACCUUUAUCUUCUUCCAGGGACCACAAAGCAACUUCUGACCGUAGACCACCGGACCCCAGAGCCAGGGAGCACAGAGACCACCUCCACCACAAACAUGAAGACAACAACGACCAGAUCUCAUCCACCGUUGGCCGUAACACCGACUCUACUGACCGUAGACCACCGGGAGACCACCGGGAGACCACCGGGGAGCUAGGCGGUGCCUCGCCCGUCUCCAAGAGCGACCAACCCCCAUCUGACCCUUCCUCUUCCUCCUCCUCCUCCACUCAGAGAUCUCAGGGAGGGUCUGAGCCCACCAGACCCAGCGAGAGCAGCCCUGGCAGGGACACGACGCAGGAUAUAUACGGCUCCAUGGAGAACCAGCCCGGGAGGGGAAAGGCUGAGGGAGAAGAGCCCAGAGCAGAGAGCUUCUCGGCGGGGAGACAGAGCCAGCAGGCCAGCCUAGGAACCCUAGAGAAGGAGACGAGUGGUGGAAAGCCCCAACAACACCCGGCCUCACUCCUACAGCCCCCAGGACUGACAACAGGGCAGGGGUGCCCCGAGCUGUCAGAGAGAGAGAGAGAAAGAAAGAGAGAGAGUGGCAGAUACAAAAGAUGAGGGAGAAGAUGGAGAAGGAGAGAGAGAAAGGGGUGGAUAGGGAGAAGGAGAGAGAGAAGGGGGUGGAUAGGGAGAAGGAGAGAGAGAAAGGGGUGGCUAGGGAGAAGGAGAAAGGGGUGGAUAGGGAGAAGGAGAGAGAGAAAGGGGUGGAUAGGGAGAAGGAGAGAGAGAAGGGGCACCCUAAAGCCAGACCUCCUCCCUCGGUCCAUUCUUCCAAACCUUCCACGUUCCAUUCUUCCAAACCUCCUCCCUCGGUCCCUUCUUCUAGACCUCCUUCUGACCUGGUCAGAGAGACAGAUGAGGCAGCCUUCGAACCGGACUACAGCGAGGGAGAGAUCUCAGAGGGGGAGGAGGAGGAAGGAGAGAAAAAAGUGGGCGGACAGCGAGCGGUGGAG
rnacentral:lncRNA from 1 species